rnacentral:rRNA from 1 species
CCUACGGGUGGCAGCAGUGAGGAAUAUUGGUCAAUGGGCGGAAGCCUGAACCAGCCAAGUCGCGUGCAGGAUGACGGCCCUAUGGGUUGUAAACUGCUUUUAUACGGGAAUAACGCGCCUUCCGUGUAGGGCUUUGCAUGUACCGUAUGAAUAAGGACCGGCUAAUUCCGUGCCACCCGCCGCGGUAAAACGGAAGGGCCGGGGGUUAUCCGGAUUUAUUGGGUUUAAAGGGAGCGUAGGCCGCAUGUCAAGCGUCCUGUGAAAUGUCCGGGUUCAACCCGGGCCUCGCAGCGCGAACGGGCGUGCUUGAGUCCGCGGAAAGCAGGCGGAAUUCGUCGUGUAGCGGUGAAAUGCUUAGAUAUGACGAAGAACCCCGAUUGCGAAGGCAGCUUGCUGCAGCGGAACUGACGCUGAGGCUCGAAAGCGCGGGUAUCGAACAGGAUUAGAUACCCUUGUAGUC